GCCAGGCGUUGUGGCCGGCGCCUGUAGUCCCAGCUACUUGGGAGGCUGAGGCAGGAGACUCACUUGAGCCCAGGAGUUGGAGGUUGCUGUGAGCAUGAUGCCAUGGCACUGUACCCAGGGGGAUAGCUUGAGGUUCCAUCUCAAAAAAAAAAAAAAAAAGGAGUUUUAAUUCUUUUUUUUUUUUUUUGUUUUUUUGAGACAUAGUCUCAAGCUGUUGCCCUGGGUAGAGUGCCCUGGCAUCACAGCUAAAAGCAACCUCAAACUCUUGGGCUUAAGCAAUUCUCCUGCC
rnacentral:SRP_RNA from 1 species